rnacentral:lncRNA from 1 species
GUCAGAGCCGAGAUGCUUUCACGUGUGCCGAUUCCCCAUCGUCCUGUCUAUCCAGAAUCAUCAUGAGGAAUUCCCUAUGUUCCAAUUACUCCUUCCUCGUCGGUUUGUGGAGACAUGAAAGAAGGCAAGGACAUGAACAUAGGCACACCUUGUUGGAAGCCUACUGUGAUUGCACCAGAAGAGGAUUCAGUGAAUGUAACUUUAUGAGUUUAAUGUGAUUGAACAUAAACACGCCUGGAGAACUUUUUAAUAGCUCAAGUGUUUUAAUGUGAAUGGUAUGUGCCUAUGUGUGAUUUACUUUCUUGUUUUUGUUUAAUGUGUGAUGUAGUUUGGUGCUAUAAUGCUCUUCUUUCUUUUGAUAUUGCUUUUCUUUACAUUUGUUGACGAUGUUAAUGGGUAAAAUUCUGUUGGGUUAGUAGUUGUAUAUUGAAACAAAUAUGUCUUCUGGACAAGUAGGUUAGGCAGAAAGAGUCCCUAUUGUAUGUUGAUAUGAGAGAUAAUAUGGGCAAUUGGCUAUUUUGUACCAGGGAAGUUAGUACUCCGGAGGUUAUGGUUUCCAGAAGCCUUGAUUGGCUUGCCAUUAAUUAUGUGUAUUGAGUUGGGGAGCUUUUGCCCUUAUUAUCUCUGCUAAUGGACACCUUCUUCAUUUCCUAGUCUAGAACUUAUUAAGGGUCAAGUUCCUCCUUUUGUUUUGGGUGUUGGUUUAAAUCAUUUCUCAUGGGGAGGUCAAUACUUAUGACGUGGUUAAGAGGAGAAGACUGGCUGCUAUAUGGUGCAUUUUCUGCAAAGAAGGCCGAGAAGAAUGUGAAUCAUCUGUGUUUGUGCUCUUCCGUUGUCUUAGAUCUUUGGGAUGUUCUAAUGUGAUCUGAUUCAUUCCAGCUGAUUGUUGUCUUAGCUCUUUGGGAUGUUCUAAUGUGUUCUGAUUCAUUCCAGCUGAUUGUUUGACUUCACUGUGUGAAAGCUUCAAUUUAUUUUUAGGAGGUAGAAAGUAGUUCCUUCUGGUAAGAUGUGCUAUAAAUGGCUGUGUUUUAGGUUACCUGGUUGUACGAACAAUUCAGUUUUUUUUUUUGGUUGUUGGAACAUGACUAGGGGUAGGGAGAAGGGUGGUUAUAUGCAGUCGGAUAGACGCGCCAUACUGGCUUCAUAAUCUUUUUCCAGCAUUUAAGAAUGGCUCUUUUUUCUAUCUACAAAGGCAAAGCUGCACUCUUUUUGAGUCCUAUUCUCCCGACAUUCACUAUAUUGGAAGUAUGAACUCAUCAACUCUUUCAAUCAUGAUGUCUCAUUGUCAUAUAUUUUUAAACGGAGUCGACAAUAUAUCUCAUCGUUCAUCUGUGUGUAUAUUUCGUAGACUGGACGUGUUGUACUGGACGUGUUGUAGUUGAGCGAGGUGGUUCUGUGAUGUUACAGUUCAUGCCUGCAAUUGGUGAGCCCAAAUAUGACUGUUUGCAUUACAAAAUCUGAAUUUCAUUAUUGUUUACUUCCCAAAGUAAUUCUUGUGAAUUUAAGCUUAAAUGUGUCUCGUUCCAGUUGUUUGCUUUAUCGGCAACAGAGGUUGGGUCUCUCAUCAGCAUUUUUUUUAUUUUUCAUUUUUAUUUUUGUUUUAAUGCAGUCAAGGUCAGAUGUUUCUGCCAUUACUCAUUUUGAUGAUUUAUUUCAUGAUCCUUCAACAGAGGUUGAGUAUGAUCUUUCAAAAAAAAACAGAGGUUGAGGAUGAUUUGACUUCAACAUGGUUAACCGGGAAAACUUGAUAUACAAUGUUGUUACAACCUCAAAUAUGAUGCUGGACGUAUAAUACAAUCAAGGAUUUAAAAUGAGAAUAAUCCAAGUCCUCUGAAUAACUGCCUUCCAGUUGUUCACUUGAAGAUGAGCAACUGGCAGCUUGAGACAAAUUUCCAUUGAGUAUCAAAUUCAAGUCCGGCUUCGGCAAAGAAAACGUGAUUUUUUGAAGCUGAGCAUUUAAACUAUCUUGCAGUUGCUGAGGUGAAUAGUUCUGGCUUUUCAAGAGCUUUUACUAAUUACUACUGAGUUUGCUGCAAGACUAACCUGUAGGAAAGGAGAGGGCAUAAGAGAAAUGAAAUUUAUCCUUCUAUUUGCAUACUGUUGAUGUUAUGUUUUACAAGUGUCAUCACACAUAAUAACUUGUGUCAGACAGGAGGACGACCACCAUUUGAGAUAAUGCAUACAACAUAAGAGAGAGAUCAAUGCCAUGUAAGAACUAUUUUGUAGUUCACAAAAGAGAGUUGGGCAAAACACAAACUCGCAGACAGUACACAGCACACAGUAGAACAUUUUGCAAGGUCAUCUUGGUCAUCAAUACCCAAUCUUGUUGCUGGAAGUAUAAUAUAUGAGACAAGUAGCAAGAUGGAGUAAGCACGUCCACAGAACACAUAUGCAUGAUGAAUCCUACUUUAUCUAGGAUUCCUGCAUCCGCAUAACCUAUUCGUAGCAGCCGUAGGCAAGUAAGAUGACUGUCACUAAAAUUAAAACUUAGACUCGAUCUGGUAACACUUAUCUGUUGAUGACCGCAACCUAACAAAUCCAGACGAGUUUGACAUGAUAAGGGUAUAGCAAGAGGAUUUAAAUAUAAUGUAUUUGCUACAAUUCAGGUGUACUAUAGCGAAACUGAUUCUGUAUUCUAUCUCACAGUCUUUGACCUCUCCAGGACAAUGUCUAAUGGCGAAGCUGCUUAAUAGCUGGUAUCAUUUGCGCUCCUAGCAUACAUUUUUCCUGAACCCUGGUAUCACAAAGACUCCACUGAGUCCAUUCUUAGUUAAUAUUGAGUUCUAGCUACAAAAAGUCUUUAUCUGGAGCAUUAUGAUCCAUUAUCUUAUCAUGAUGAAUAUUUACUGAGUUCCAAUAAAAUGAUCCGCACAUCUCCUUAUUAACUGUUGUGUAUGUGGCAACAUAAUGAUCAGGACCACCAAUAUAGCGCAACAACUUAAAGUCCUAAUAUUGGAAACCUACGCUAAGUUCCUAGCUCCUGGGAGCCACAGCCGGUUACAAAGUAGCUAAACGGACAGCAGCAACAUCUUAUAACAACAAUAUCUAAAGCAUCAACGACCCUUGUCUUUCUGGAUCCUUGUCUUUGGUAAGUUCUAAAUCAUACUAGUAUCAACAUCUACACUCAUCAAAUAGCACAUCCUAAAUAGCGCUGAUGACAACUGAAGAAAGCGCAAAUUUCAUACAGCUGACCAAGCAGAAUAAACUAUUUGCAUGAAGAACUGUUGUUAUGUUUUGCAAGUUUCCAUUAUACAUAAUGCCUUAUGUCGCACAGGAGCACAGCUACUUGAGAUAAGGCAUACAACAUAAGAGAGAUGACUUUGCAUACUAGUCUAAUGAGAAUUAGUUUAAAUCCAUGUUAUCAUACAGUUUUGUAGUUCACAGAAGAGAGUUGGGCAAACUACAAAAACUCUCACACAGUGCACAGCUGACAAGGGAACAUUUCACUACAUUGUCUUGGUCGUCGAUACCCAAUUUUGUUGCUACGAGCAUAAUAUAUGUGACAAGAAGCAAGUAUAAUAUAGCACGUAGACAGCACACAUAUAUGUAUGAUGCAUCCUACUGUUUUCACACAUAUAUGUGGCUCGUGCGCAAAUUCUUUGUUUCACAGACGUCCUAUUCUGAUCCGGCCUAUACAUACAUAUAUACACACACACACACACACACACAGAGGAAUACACAUGAAUAUGUAAGGAAUACUCCGACAGCACUGUCAUUCAAAUUAAAUUUGGAUCCGAUCUGGUAAAAAGCUUAUCUGUUGAUGACCGCAACCUAAUAAAUCCAGGAGAGUUAGGCAUGAGAGGGUUAUAGACUUAUUACUUAUAGCAAGAGGAUUCCCACAAUCAUGUUUGUGCCACAAUUCUGGCGUAUCACAGAAACACCAGCAAGCAAGCUCAUGAUCCUGCAUUCUAUCACACAAAGCCACUGUCUUUGAUCCCUCCAGGACAAUAUCAUUUCCCUCCUUUUAGAGGUUGUUCCUGAAUCCUGGGAACAGCCAACUCCGCAGCAGAAAUCCCCAGAAAGGCUCCACUCUUAGUUACUACUGAGUUGUAGGCUUGUAGCUACAGGAAGUCUUUAUCUGAAUUGUUAUAAUUCAUUAUCCUAUCACGAUGUAUAUUCUAGAUCACCAAUAAAAGAAUUUGCACAUACCCUUAUCAACUGUUCUUCAUGUGGCCACAUAAUGAUCGGGGCCAUCAAAGCCAAGUCCUAUGUUGGAAAUCACAACAACAAUCCUGGCCUAAGUUCCUAGCUCCUAGGAGCCACAGCCAGUUUGCAAGUAGCUAAAAGGGACAGCAGCAACAUCUUAUGAAAACCAAAUCUAAACCCUUCUAAAGCAUCAAUGACCCUUGUCUUUUCGGUAAGUUUAAAUCAUACCACUAUCAACACCUACACUCAUCAAGUAGCACAUCUUAAUGAGUGUUCUAAUCCCGAUGACAACUGAAGGAAAUGCAGGUCAAACAAAUGAACAAUCAGAACAAAUCUAAACUAUAUACUGAUAAGAGCACUAAUAUUGAACAGCAUGAUUUAGUGAAAUGCAUGAUAAUGAGCUGAAAUUUCAACGUACCGACUCUGAAGCCAUCUUUACGGCAGCUUUCGCUAUAGGCAGUAUGCAAAACCUAAACCAAACCCAAACCCAAUACAACAACAAUUUUAGUCUUGAAAUUGACUACUUCAUCAAACAAACAUAAUAGAAUUUUAUUUAAGUAAAUAAACUCCGGGUAAUUAAAUUAAAGUGAGGAACUUACAUUCCACGGCCACCGGCCAGAGCUUCCUCCGAUGGGUCUUUCCAUUCAUCAAUUCUGCAAAUUUAACAUUUACCAAGUCAAUUACUUUAGGUAAAUACAAAAUUACAAAAUCAAAUAUACAUACAUAGAGAGAGACAUACACCCAACCGUAACGGCGGUCAAAUAAGAGGCGUUUGGAUUUUGAAGAGGUUGAAACGGAGGAGAUUGAGGACUCCAUUCUCUGUUACUCUGAAACUGAUUGGGGGAAUAAAAGGAAUAUGAAGUGGGCCGGGUCGGGCUAGUCACUAAUCGGGUCUAAGUUGAUGGCAAAUCCGUAAAUAAAAACAGAGCACCACCGCGCUCUACAUAUUUCAAAGGCCACCCAAAUCAAACUUCUUCCCGCUUAGCUUCUCUCUCUCUGAGCUUUUGAAGAUCGGCGAUCAUGAAACCGACGGAUCGGAUUCCGGCAAAGGCCUGUAAUUCCGGUAACUUUCGUUUCAAAUCGUACUGAUUUCGCUAAUUUCGUUUCCUAGCUUUUCUUUCUUGUUCGCUGCUUUAAUUUUUGCUCCGAUUUCCGUUCGCCGGAAAACUUGAAGAGAAACGAAAUUUCUAUAUAACUUGAACUGAAUUUCUCUGUGAUCUAAGAUUAAGCUUUUUACCGAUCGGAGACGAAGAAAAAGGAAUUGGAAUUUGGAUUGAUUUGGUUGAGUUUGAGUCCAAUUUCCAAGCGUGAUUAGCUUAGGGUUUCUGCUAUGAAUGCGAAUUUUGGCUUUGAAUUAAUGGAUUAAAUGUUGGUUUUGGUGAUUUCAGCUGGGGUUUGUCUGAUGAGAAACGCAUGGAGAGACGAACAGCAUCCAUCUUUCAUAAACUUCAUCUCCAAUUUCCUCGCUGCAAAUUCUUUCCGGCUUAACUUUGCCUCAAUUCCAGCAGUAAUUUAUACUAUUUUAUUAUGUAAUUUUGAAAGGAAAUUUGGUGAAUCGCUCGCUUAAGCGCGGUGAUGGUUUCGAUUGCAUUGCAGGACUUCAUUUUCAACUGUGGAGGUUCAUCAGUGGCAUUCAUCUUUGUCACAAGCUUGGAUUCAACUAAUGUCUCCGAAAUCUUCGCCAGGUGACCAAAUUGUUCUCGCUUUUGGUGCGAUUCUGCUUGUCCUAAUUUUACGAGUUUGAUGUGAAUCCUUGUAUUUAUUACAGAACUCAAUUACUGAAGCAGCAAUUUGCACAUCUCUAUGUUAUCUGUACCCUCCCAACCAAGGAGCAAAAUGACUUGUUUGUUCGUUCUUACUUCAAGUGAGUUUAUCGGAAACUUUUCGUUCAGGGAAAUGUGUCAAUACACUAGUUAGAUCUUAGCUUUAAUAUUCUGUUACAAUUUGAUUAUGAACUGACUGGAGGUGUUUAAACCUGUGAAGUUCCGGAUUGGAGCUUGGUAAGCCGGCAUUUGUUCCGGUUAAAGACUUAGAGAUGGGUUUUGAGAAGAUGCUAAGGAUAGCUUAUGCUCGAGGAGGUAAAUCUUGUUCUCUAAAACUCAGUCACUUACGGAUUUCGUAUGAAAAUUUUCUCAGUAGCCAACUGAUCACAGUAUGCAAGCGAGAGGAUGUCACCACAAAAUUGAAGGCACAGGUUGGUGUAAUGUCAAUACAAACAUUAACAGCGUUAUGCUAUGUUUCGUACUUGGUUCUGAACUUCUGAUGACCUACAAUGCACAUUUCUUUUGCUAAACAUCUUGGGGCUUCUGGUUUGAAUAGAGAGAGCAAUAUGUGCAAACAGCAGGUGUAUUUCAAAGAGUGGUCACAUCUAUACCAGGAAUUGAUAAUCAUGAUGCAAAUGCGGUACAUUACUCUUCAUAGUCCAGGCUUAUAUGACUUAUUUCUAUAUCUUGCAUGUGUUCUUCACUGCGUAACUAAAACUAAGAUUUUUUCUGGCAAUGUUGAUCAGCUUAACCAAGCAGUAGGAUCAAUUGAAGCAAUUGCUAAGGAAUCGAAGGAGCAUAUUCUGGAAAACACAGACCUUUCAGCUGACAAGGCAGAAGUGCUUUCAAGGUUUUUCAGGGAUCCAAAGUUUUACCUCAGUCCCAAGAUCAAUUGACCGCCCUUUUAAACUAAUGAGCUUCAGAUAUGAUCUGGAGAUGCGGACAUAUAUUGAACAUUGCUUCUAUUUUGUGGACUACCACUCCACUUGCAGUGUCUAUAAUGUGGUUUCUGGAAUUGGUAUUGCAUGCAAACUGAGGUUUGAAAACUAAAGCGCUGUAAUCUCCCAUGGUUUUCAAUUCUGCAUGUGGCAAUUAGGUUCCUGAUGGGUACUAAUUAAGUACUAACUAUCAUCAUAAAUUGGCUCUUCUUAUUAGAUUUACAAAUAACUGAAUAACCACUAUGUCGAUCAUUUUAAGAGGAUACGUACCCUCGAGUCCAUAGCCAUGAAUUAAAGCUGGUGAAAACCUUCUCGCUCCCAUGUUUGUAUGACCACUCGUGGCCAUGGCAAUCGAGUACAAUAGCCUUUCCUUGAUUACCUAGGAGAUCCUCUUAAUCCCACAAACCUUGGGUUUAUUGUUUAAAGUUGGAUUCCCUUUGGGGGCUAUUUACCAAAAGGAUAUACAGUAUGUGUCCUUGGAAAUAAACCGCACCAACUUAACAUAUAUAUUUCCAAAACAUUUUCAGUACACGGCGUGUAUUUUCACAUACAUACAUGGAUGAUUAAAAUUAGAGAAAAUAAUAUAGAAACAUGGUGGUCAAACAUAUAAAUUGUUAUGAACGGUUAAGAUUGUGUCAUGUAAAUACACGUUGUGUAUACAAGAAUUUCUAAUACAUAUAUAUAAAUAUAAAUAUAUAUAUAUAAAUAUCAGGGCCCUUCUAUUGAGGGAUCUCUAUUUUUGGCCACUUUUAGGGAUAGGCUCACACAAUUGGAUCUGUUAUUUAAUGAGGUUGGAUGGCUGAGAUUAAAACAAAAAAUUACACACUUUAUAUCAAACCUGGACCGUUCAAGAUCAAUAAAAAUAAAUCGAAGUUUUGAAUGGGUUAACGAUCACUAAAUUAUCUGAAAAUUUGUAGAAAUGAUCUACUCAUAUAACCCAAUGAAUUGAACGGUGUAGAUGCAAAAAUUUGAUCGGGAAGUUGGUGUAAUACCAUAUCCUUAGAAAUGGCUAAAACUAGGGAUCCCUUAAUGGAAAGGCCCUCAUAUAUAUAUAUAUAUAUAUAUAUAUAUUCCCUUAACUUACAUGACGAGAAACAUUGUGACAUUGCGAUCUUGGAAAUAAACCUAUCAACACUGUUCUUUCUUUCACGCUCUCAUAGGAAUGGCUGGACCCGACGGACAUGUAAGAAAGCUAGCCCUCUUCUUUGAGAAACUCGGCGCCUCUUCUCCUCCGGGUAUGAACUUUUCAUUGAUUCGAAAGAAUACAUCUUCUAUCCUUGGCUGACAAUUUCGUGGAAUUAUUUAAAAUUAAGAUUAAAAUUUGUGAACUUAUCUGUUGCUGUCGAAAUCAGAUCUGAAAGUUCUUAUUGCUCUCUCUAAUCCGGAAUUUCUUGUCAGAUACGAGAAAAAGUUCAGAAAUCAGGUCCAACCCCGAAGGACCGGUGGCUGGUGGAGGUGCUUCUGUGGACAAACGACAAUUUGUGCCUUGCGAUGUGUGUUCUAAGUUGAACCCCCCUAAUCUUAGUUGCUCUUACUCUGUGGGGCCUUGUGAUAUUUGUGACAAGGUUCAACGCAUUAAUUGUUGCCCUUAUCUCAACCACCUCCCACAGGGGGCAACUUUUAACUCUGGAUAUGGAAUAGUUUGUGUAUGUGGUUAUGUAUUUGAUGAGGUUAAGUGGGUUGUCCCUUAUGUGGUGGGAGCGGAGCAGUGCUUAAGGCCAAGAAUUGUUCCAUUUGUAACGUCUGGAAGCAGCACUGUGCAUAUGAAUGCCCAAAAAGACAAGGAUCUUGCUGCCGAGUAUAAAUCGAUCAGAGAAAAGAUGCUUUCAGAAGUGUCGACUCCCAUUGCAUGGUCAGGUACCUAUGUUCCAACUGAUCCUUGUGGAGACAUGAAAGAAAAAGGUUGGAAGGUUAUCUCGCAGACCAUGUAAUGUGAUAUUGCACCUGAGAGGAUUUAAUUAAUGUAACUUUAUGAGUUUAAUGUGAUUUAUUGAGCAGAUAAUCAAACACGCCGGGGGAAAUUUUUAAUAGCUGCAGUGUUUCAAUAUAAAUAAUGGUAUGUGCCUAUGUGUGAUUUACUUUCUUGUUUUUAUUCGAUGUGUGAUUUACUUUGGUGCUAUAAAAUGCUUUUGUUUCUUGUGAUAUUGCUUUUCUUUUUACAUUUGUUGAUGUUGUUAAUGCGCAAAAUUCUGUUGGGUUAGUACUUAGUAGUUGUAUAUUGAAACAAGUAUGUAUUCUGGACAAGCAGGUCGUUCAGAAGGAGAGUCCCUAUUGUUUAGGGUUAGUACUCCAAAGGUUAUGGUUUCCAGAAGCCAGAUUGGCUUGCCAUUAUGUGUACCACUGGCCUCUACGCUGGGCAUUUACAAUGAACUUGAAUGAGUUGUCCUUGUUAUCUCUGCUAAUGCACACCUUCUUCAUUUCCUAGUGUACAACUUAUAAGGGUCAAUUCUCCUUUUGUUUUGGGUGUUAGUUUAGAUCGUCAUUUCUCAUGGGAGGUUAAUACUUAUGACGUGGUUAAGACGAGAAGACUGGCUGCUACUUCUUCCCCUAUGGUGCAUUUUCUGCGGUACAUUACUCUUCAUAGUCCAGGCUUAUAUAUAUAUAUGUAUAUCUAUAAUUCUAUAUCUUGUAUUUUUGACUGCCUAACUAAAGGUUACUCUGGCUAUUAUAUAUGAUCAGCUUAACCAAGCAGUAGGAUCAAUUGCUAAGGAAUCGAAGGAGCAUAUUCUGGAAAACACAGACCUUAUUUCAGCUGACAAGGCAGAAGUGCUUUCAAGGUUUUUCAGGGAUCAAAAGUUUUACCUCAGUCCCAAGAUCAAUUAACAGCCCUUUUUAUCUAGCUAAUGAGCUUCAGAUAUAAUCUGGACAUGCAGACAUAUAUUGAACCGACUUGCUCUAUUUUGUUGACUACUCGACUUGCACUGUGUAUAAUGUAGUUUCUGUAAUUGGUAUUGCAAACUCAGGUUUGAGAACUAAAACGCUGUAAUCUCUAUGGUUUGCAAUUCUGCAUGUGGCAUUUUUAGGUUUUUGAUGAGUAUUGACUAGCAUCAUAGAUUGGCAUGUGACCAAUAUAUGUCUUCUUAUUAUAACUUCAUAUUAAAGAUACUAAUGUAUUCAAGCAUCUAAGAAGAAUUGUCGAAGAAUUGCCGAAGUAAAAGUUCAAACAGGUAAAGUAUGUAUCCGAAUAAUCCACUUCCAGGAUCGGAAAUUGAAACUGGCUGAAACUUUCUGGAGCUCGAGAAGGGGAACUAUUUUCACUCAUCUUUUAUUUUUUAUUCACCGAGAUUAAAUUGACACUUGUAGACCCUAAAACUCCCAGCAGAAACGAACCACGUCUUGUAACCAAAAACAAAUGAACUACCUCCAUGAACCACGGUGCAUCCUAAUUCAAAAUUACUAGAUCGGAAAUUUACCUACACAGGUAAGAAGAAUUAUUACAUCCACUACAUGAUAAAGCAGACAUACAUUACAAGUAGAAGUACAAUUGGUUUAUAUGAUGGGGCACCAAGAUAUGAGGCAAGCCGCAAUUCAAAACAAACCAGCCCAAAACGUGUUAGAUAUCUUAGAAAUAAGAGAAAUAAACCUAUCAACUGUUCUUUACGCUCUCAUUGAACCUAACGGAACCCUAGGAAGGAAUGGCUGGACCCGACGUGAGAAAGCUAGCCCUCUUCUUUGAGACUCUCGCCGCCUCUUCUCCUCCUGGUUUGAAAUUUGCUUCUCAGAAUUUUGUUCAACUUUUCUUUGAUUUGAACGAAUAGAUCUUCUAUCCUUCGUUGACAAUUUCGUGGAUUUUGUUAAAAAUAAGAUUAAUCUAAUCUGGAAUUUCUUGUCAGAUAAGAGAAAAAGUUCAGAAAUCAUCAAUCGAAAAGGUUGCAGAGGAUCCGCUGGUUCAGGUUUUGUCUUAUGUUUGACGCUUUCUGCUUAACUUGUUCUCCCUGUCUUCCAAUCAUAUUAGUUUUUGUUAGUUUUUUCCCUGUGUGGAUCAUAGAAGAAAGUUCUGCUCCCAUUUUCUUUCUUUCCAUUUAGAUUUUACUAUUGAAUUCUACUUUUCUUUUGGUUACAACUUUGAGAUUGCUUUCUCUUCUCUACUAUGUGCUUUCUAGCUCUGAUUAUAUCCUGGUAUUUGUGUAAAUUGGCUGCUCGAAUGAGUUCCUACUUCCUGCCAUAAUUUUCUUAUCUUUUAUGGGUAUCUAACAACAGAACUGCAAACAACCAGGCACCUAUACAGUCUAUACUCCUGUCGUCUUCAUGGGGCAGAAUGACUUUGGAGGACCGGUGGCUAGGGGAGGUGCUUCUGUGGACAAACGACAAUGUGUGCCCUGCAAUGAGUGUUUUAACUCGCACCCCCCUUAUUCUUAUUGCCCUUACACCCCUUGUGAUAUUUGUGACAAGGUUCACGACUCUGCUCGUUGCCCUUACUUCGACCAUCUCCCACAAGGGGCAACUUUUCCCCCUGGAUAUGAAAUAGUUUGUCGAUGCGGUAAUUUAUUUAAUGAGGAUAAGUGGGCUUGUAGCUCUUGUGGUGGGAGCAUUCCAGUGCUUAAGGCCAAGUAUUGUUCCAUUUGUAACGUCUAUUAUCAGCACGGUGUAUAUGAAUGCCCAGUGGACAAGGAACAUGCUGCCAAGUAUAAAUCGGUCAGAGACGAGAUGCUUUCACGUGUGCCGAUUCCCCAUCGCCCUGUCUAUCCAGAAUCAUCAUCAGGAAUUCCCUAUGUUCCAACUACUCCUUCCUCGUCGGUUUGUGGAGACAUGAAAGAAGGCAAGGACCCCGUCUAUAUUCCAGAAUCAUCAUCAGGAAUGACCUAUUCUCCAACUGCUCCUUCUUGGGUUUGUGGAGACAUGAAAUAAGGCAAGGACAUGAACAUAGGCACACCUUGUUGGAAGCCUGUUUCGUGGACCCUGUAGUGUGAUUGCACCAAAAGAGGAU